AGCUGCCUCAGUAGCCCAGUGGUUAGGUAUGUAGCUUUCCUUGUGAGAACGUUGGUUCGACUCCGCUUGCCGACAAUUUCAUAAGAAAAGUUGCAAAUCGAGCUGCUGAGUUACCCGGAGGGGGUGGCGCAAUUUUUUUUAUUUUUUAUAUAAU
rnacentral:sRNA from 1 species